rnacentral:lncRNA from 1 species
ACUCGAAUUGGUCACAUGGCCUUGAGAGGGGUCCCUUUCCCCAAUUUAGAUUUUCAUUUCCUCAUUUCUCUUCUCUCUCUAGAACUCAGAUUUCUUAUUUUCUCUGACUUCUCUCUAACCUUGCUCCACCUUCUCUAACCUUACUCCACCUUCUCUGUACCAAUUUCUCAAAUUUCCACCGUUGUUAUUUCAAAUAGGUGGUCCCCCUACGUUCCCGGAGUUGAGAGCUUCCAAUCCAUC